GACCACAUCCCCUGUGUCUGGAGGUCACCAAGAUGCACACCCCAGGUGAGGUCUGAGGCGUCCAACACCAACUUGAUGGAGUGAGGGGUUGUCGAACUAAACCCCUUCCAGGACUAUCCUGGAGUCGGUCCACCAUCGCAGUGAAUAGGCCCAGAGAGCAGCAUGUAGCCUGAAGCACCGUGACAUCCCUUUGGACUUGAGACCUGGAGCUGCCCUUGAUGAGCCAGUCGUUGAACUGGCUCAAGAGAGAGUCUCUCCACCCCCAAAGGAU